AUUGAACGCUGGCGGCAGGCUUAACACAUGCAAGUCGAGCGGAGCGAGGGUGCUUGCACCUUAGCUUAGCGGCGGACGGGUGAGUAAUGCUUAGGAAUCUGCCUAUUAGUGGGGGACAACAUUCCGAAAGGAAUGCUAAUACCGCAUACGCCCUACGGGGGAAAGCAGGGGAUCUUCGGACCUUGCGCUAAUAGAUGAGCCUAAGUCGGAUUAGCCAGUUGGGGGGGUAAAGGCCUACCAAGGCGGCGAUCUGUAGUGGGUCUGAGAGGAUGAUCCGCAACACUGGGACUGAGACACGGCCCAGACUCCUACGGGAGGCAGCAGUGGGGAAUAUUGGACAAUGGGCGGAAGCCUGAUCCAGCCAUGCCGCGUGUGUGAAGAAGGCCUUUUGGUUGUAAAGCACUUUAAGCGAGGAGGAGGCUACUAGUAUUAAUACUACUGGAUAGUGGACGUUACUCGCAGAAUAAGCACCGGCUAACUCUGUGCCAGCAGCCGCGGUAA
rnacentral:rRNA from 1 species